UAUGUUUUCUAGUUUUUCGAGUGAGUUGUGUAUUAUUACGUUAAAAUUCAAGUUUUCAGUCUCACCAAAAAAUUCUUUGCUCUUCAAGCUUUAUUUGUAUUUGUGUGUUACUAAAACAAUUAUCAUCGAUGACUCUAACCACCUACAUAUUUUCACUCCUCGUUUAUUUGUCUAUAAACAUCUGAACACCUCAGAUUUGUUUUCGUCUUGUCCUUAGACUCAUAUCAAGAUCACGUUUUCAUCUUUUGAACUAUAAAUUCGGCCAUUCGGAGGGUCAAUUAUACCAGUGGAUAUAGGCAAUAUAAUAAACGUGAUUGAUUGGGUUCGUCUCAUCAUUGAUGCAGACUUUUUUUUUCAAAAUCAUAUAAUCUAAAAACGAGAAAAAAACAUUUGUUUCUAAAUCCUCAAAUUCAGCUGGUGAUGUUUAUUGAAUUUGUUAUGGGCUACCAUAUAUGACAUAACCAUGUAUAAAUAGAAAUUAUGUGCAACACAAUAUUUUAAGAAUUGCUUAAAACAGCAUGUUGUUAUAUUUAACUAAUUGGUCGUGAGCCGAGUAUUAAUUGGAAGGUGCAACGAAAGUUAAUCUAUAUUCUUAGAAUACUAUAUUGGGAACGAUGCCUAUCGCUGGAUACUGCUAAACAACAAGGCCUAUGACGUUAAUCGAGCAAUAUAAAGAGGGAUCAAAAUGACCACAAUUCAGAGUUCUAGCCACGAAACUACAAGUUACUUCACGUCACUCUAUGUUGUAUUUUGUUAAAACACUUUGAAAGUUAAAUAAACGUUUAAGUUAAAGUCUUAUGUCUUAUUAAAUAAUUUAAAUACAUCUUCGACUGCACUACUUGGAAUCGAGCCGGUGGCACGUAACAAUUAUGCAGCAAGUAAAAUUAAGAAUAAAGUGACUUUUUCAUCUCAUGAAAGAUGAAACCAGGUUGAUUGCUCAAUACAGUUUACACUGAGGAUUAAGGACAAAAACAUUACGAGAAAACGCUUACUUAUUAUUAAAAAUAUUUUGGAACUUUAUUUAGAAGAUCCACAGAAUAAGAUUUAAGCAGAAUAACAUGGCUGCUGUAUCUAAAUGUUUUUUAUCAGCCACACCUUAAUUUUAUAACCAUUGAUCCAAAAAUAUUUGAAUCUGUCUAUUUUAUAACGACCCAUGUACAGUGAUACAUUGUCGUCCUAAUAAUAAUUAUAUUUAUUCAUAACUUAAUUUUAUUAUAAUAAACUUCUAUUUCAUUGUCAACCAAUUAUUAUUACUUUUGUUUUUUUUAUAUUUUAAAUAUACGUACCACCAUUACAAUUUAUCUAUCAUUUAAAUCCAGUUUUAGUUUUACGUACACAUACCGAAAACUACGUGUACCAUAACAAAAUGACAUAAUAUA